rnacentral:rRNA from 1 species
GACGUAGGGCGCGAGCGUUGUCCGGAUUUAUUGGGCGUAAAGAGCUCGUAGGCGGCUUGUCGCGUCGUCCGUGAAAACCUGCAGCUCAACUGCAGGCUUGCGGUCGAUACGGGCAGGCUAGAGUUCGGUAGGGGAGACUGGAAUUCCUGGUGUAGCGGUGAAAUGCGUAGAUAUCAGGAGGAACACCGGUGGCGAAGGCGCUCAUCUGGCCCAAUACUGACGCUGAGGCGCGAAAGCUAGGGGAGCAAACGGG